ACAUUGCAGAGUAUCGUACUGAUAUAAGCUUAUCCCAUUUGAUUUGUAUAACCACGUAUAUCGCAGAGUACCCUACAGGUAUAAGCUUAUCCCAUUUGAUUUGUAUAACCACGUAUAUCGCAGAGUACCCUACAGGUAUAAGCUUAUCCCAUUCGAUUUAUAUUAUUCGUACAUUGCAGAGUGUUGUACAGGGAUAAGCUUAUCCCAUUUGAUUUGUAUUACUUGUACAUUCCAGAGUAUCAUACAGGUAUAAGCUUAUCCCAU